rnacentral:tRNA from 1 species
AUUUAAAUAGUUUAAUAAAAAUAUUGAUUUGUGGUAUCAAAGAUGUAAUUUUUUUACUUUAAAUU